rnacentral:rRNA from 1 species
GACGUAGGGGCCGAGCGUUGUCCGGAGUUACUGGGCGUAAAGGGCGCGCAGGCGGUUGGUCACAUCGGCGGUGAAAGCCCCCCGCUCAACGGGGGAGGGUCCGUCGAGAUGGGCCGACUGGAGGCAGGGAGAGGGCGGUGGAAUUCCGGGUGUAGUGGUGAAAUGCGUAGAGUAUCCGGAGGAACACCAGUGGCGAAGGCGGACCGCC